rnacentral:rRNA from 1 species
AGCGAACGCUGGCGGCAGGCCUAACACAUGCAAGUCGAGCGCCGUAGCAAUACGGAGCGGCAGACGGGAGAGUAACACGUGGGAACGUGCCCUUUGGUUCGGAACAACCCAGGGAAACUUGGGCUAAUACCGGAUAAGCCCUCACGGGGAAAGAUUUAUCGCCGAAGGAUCGGCCCGCGUCUGAUUAGCUAGUUGGUGAGGUAAUGGCUCACCAAGGCGACGAUCAGUAGCUGGUCUGAGAGGAUGAUCAGCCUCACUGGGACUGAGACACGGCCCAGACUCCUACGGGAGGCAGCAGUGGGGAAUAUUGGACAAUGGGCGCAAGCCUGAUCCAGCCAUGCCGCGUGAGUGACGAAGGCCUUAGGGUUGUAAAGCUCUUUCACCGGAGAAGAUAAUGACGGUAUCCGGAGAAGAAGCCCCGGCUAACUUCGUGCCAGCAGCCGCCGUAAAAC